rnacentral:rRNA from 1 species
UACAGAGGGGGCGAGCGUUGUUCGGAAUUACUGGGCGUAAAGGGCGCGUAGGCGGCCCGCUAAGUCGAACGUGAAAUCCCCAGGCUCAACCUGGGAACUGCGUCCGAUACUGGCAGGCUUGAAUCCGGGAGAGGGAUGUGGAAUUCCAGGUGUAGCGGUGAAAUGCGUAGAUAUCUGGAGGAACACCGGUGGCGAAGGCGGCAUCCUGGACCGAGAUUGACACUGAUGAGCGAAAGCUAGGGGAGCAAACGGGAGUUAG